rnacentral:misc_RNA from 1 species
AAUUCUCAACCAUCCCUCGAUUCGUUUCGAGGUUUGGCUUGGAUUUUGGGGGCUGCCGGCGACCCUCGGGUCUUCGGCUCUCCUUAAAAGCAUUAGCGAUGGCGGCGCGAUCUGACCAUGCAUGAACGGCCUUCGACGUGAUAAUGAUCGUCGUGGCUGGAGUGCUAGCGGGCGUCGUGAAGUCAGCGCUUCUAGAUCGUCGUCGAAAGACGAAACUUUGAA